rnacentral:rRNA from 1 species
AAGCGCCGGUAAGGUGAUAUGAACCGUUAUAACCGGCGAUUUCCGAAUGGGGAAACCCAGUGUGAUUCGUCACACUAUCAUUAACUGAAUCCAUAGGUUAAUGAGGCGAACCGGGGGAACUGAAACAUCUAAGUACCCCGAGGAAAAGAAAUCAACCGAGAUUCCCCCAGUAGCGGCGAGCGAACGGGGAGGAGCCCAGAGCCUGAAUCAGCAUGUGUGUUAGUGGAAGCGUCUGGAAAGGCGCGCGAUACAGGGUGACAGCCCCGUACACAAAAGCGCAUGUGCUGUGAGCUCGAUGAGUAGGGCGGGACACGUGGUAUCCUGUCUGAAUAUGGGGGGACCAUCCUCCAAGGCUAAAUACUCCUGACUGACCGAUAGUGAACCAGUACCGUGAGGGAAAGGCGAAAAGAACCCCGGCGAGGGGAGUGAAAAAGAACCUGAAACCGUGU